rnacentral:rRNA from 1 species
GACGAACGCUGGCGGCGUGCCUAAUACAUGCAAGUAGAACGCACAGUUUAUACCGUAGCUUGCUACACCAUAAACUGUGAGUUGCGAACGGGUGAGUAACGCGUAGGUAACCUGCCUGGUAGCGGGGGAUAACUAUUGGAAACGAUAGCUAAUACCGCAUAAUAUUGAUUAUUGCAUGAUAAUUGAUUGAAAGAUGCUAUUGCAUCACUACCAGAUGGACCUGCGUUGUAUUAGCUAGUAGGUGAGGUAACGGCUCACUUAGGCGACGAUACAUAGCCGACCUGAGAGGGUGAUCGGCCACACUGGGACUGAGACACGGCCCAGACUCCUACGGGAGGCAGCAGUAGGGAAUCUUCGGCAAUGGACGAAAGUCUGACCGAGCAACGCCGCGUGAGUGAAGAAGGUUUUCGGAUCGUAAAGCUCUGUUGUAAGAGAAGAACGGGUGUGAGAGUGGAAAGUUCACACUGUGACGGUAUCUUACCAGAAAGGGACGGCUAACUACGUG